UACGAAGGGGGCUAGCGUUGCUCGGAAUCACUGGGCGUAAAGCGCACGUAGGCGGAUUGUUAAGCCAGGGGUGAAAUCCUGGAGCUCAACUCCAGAACUGCCUUUGAUACUGGCGAUCUCGAGUCCGGGAGAGGUGAGUGGAACUGCGAGUGUAGAGGUGAAAUGCGUAGAUAUCUGGAGGAACACCGGUGGCGAAGGCGGCAUCCUGGACCAAUACUGACACUGAGGAGCGAAAGCCAGGGGAGCAAACGGG
rnacentral:rRNA from 1 species